GGGAAGCUAACAGACCAUGGAGGUAGAAUUACCUCCAUGUAACAGACACAUCAUUGUGGUCCAAAACCACUCGGAAGUGACGUCAAAACGACGUAUAAGCAAACGCGCUGCACACUUGUCGAGUAUCGAGAUCCGUGGUCGAGUCGAGUUACGUGAAAGUUUUCGGACCAGUGACCACUGACCACACAGGAGUGUAUGUUAUGUUAACUUAAAACGUCGGUGCGUGUAUGCUGAGUCGUCCUGAACGAGUGUGAUCCGCUGAUAUGUGACCGUAAUGUGAAAGAAAUGUGGCUGUUAUCGCACGUACACUGUAGCGGAGAAAUGGAAAUGUAUUUAUAAAUUACGUAGAAGUAAAUAAAUCGUACGGAUUCUCAGCUUAUCGGAUUUUACCUGUUUCUUGACCAUGCUGUGAUUGAUCUGCUUAUUCUGUCGAGGACCAAAUAGAACCCAAACUGGAUACUUACUUUUGCCUUGGUAUCCCUGUAUCCAGUUGCUGAGUGCAUACUGUAAUCAGGAUACACCCUUAUACACUUCAUAUUUAAAGUUGCUGGGCAGUUGGAUUUUCUAGUAUCCAUGAUUCUCAAUCUCUUACGAGGAGUCACAUGGUCUUCCUAAAGCGGGUAUUGUCAAAGUUCUGAACUGAUGGAAGCAGAUUGUCUAUCUACUUUACAUAGUACUGGAGCAAAAUUUCACAGGAUGUCACACCUAUUGUAUCUAGCAAAGAAAUGGAACUGUCUGCCAUGUGCAAUGAGGAUACCAUACUGAUUUCGGGCAACUGAAGUGCUUUAUUGUGGUUCCAAUAAAUGUGGAAUUAAUAUUCUUUGUAAACAAAGGAGAU